ensembl:snoRNA SNORA72 Small nucleolar RNA SNORA72
UGGGGAAUAGUCUUGCUGUUCUGAUUCUGUGAUAAUCAGGGCAGACUAAACACAUGCUAUGUUAAGACCAUGCAUGUGUCCCCAGACCUGGAUCUGCUUCGAUCAGUGCUGAUGACAGAC